GUACACUCCUACGGGAGGCAGCAGUGGGGAAUAUUGCACAAUGGGCGCAAGCCUGAUGCAGCCAUGCCGCGUGUAUGAAGAAGGCCUUCGGGUUGUAAAGUACUUUCAGCGGGGAGGAAGGCGAUAAGGUUAAUAACCUUGUUGAUUGACGUUACCCGCAGAAGAAGCACCGGCUAACUCCGUGCCAGCAGCCGCGGUAAUACGGAGGGUGCAAGCGUUAAUCGGAAUUACUGGGCGUAAAGCGCACGCAGGCGGUCUGUCAAGUCGGAUGUGAAAUCCCCGGGCUCAACCUGGGAACUGCAUUCGAAACUGGCAGGCUAGAGUCUUGUAGAGGGGGGUAGAAUUCCAGGUGUAGCGGUGAAAUGCGUAGAGAUCUGGAGGAAUACCGGUGGCGAAGGCGGCCCCCUGGACAAAGACUGACGCUCAGGUGCGAAAGCGUGGGGAGCAAACAGGAUUAGAAACCCCAGUAGUCCCAUGA
rnacentral:rRNA from 1 species